AUUAGCUGCCCACCUUCCCCUGAGAGAAACAACACCGGCAGCACAGGGUGAGUUUUGGGGUGGUAUUUCUUGAAGCCCUGGCCAAAAUGGAGGGGUGGGGAGGAGGAGAGAUGCUGAAAUCCAGCAGCUCGCAUCCCAGGGGCACGGCGAGCAUCACCCGAUGGGUCUGAAAGCCCCAGUGCCCUGCAAGCAGCAGCAUCCCUGGGCUUUCCGCACUAGUUAACAGGCUGCGAGCUGGCUUGUUUUAAGCUCGGUCUCUCACUUAAUCUCAUCUCCCUUCCGCGCGUGUGUGUGUCCAUGUGUGUGUGUGUAGGGGGAGGACUCUAUUUCCAUUGGUUCAGCUUUUGCUGCCCACCCACAUCUCUUCCACAUCACCUUGGUGUCUCCCUAAAUAAAACCAGCCCUUCUUAUCGCACCGAGGAAAUCAAGAGCGAGAGUUUGAAUGGAUUUGAUGUAAAUCUUUCCCCUUCCAAAGCUACUGCUGAGCUUGUGGGAGAAACUGGCAGCAGCCGGCCUGAGACUCUGCUGCUCUGAAGGGGCAAAAUCACUUUUGAAAGGGGAGGGAAGAGAUCCGGAUCCCAGUUCCAGCUAAGGACUGACCCAAAAAGCAGUGUCAGGAUUUAUCCGACUAUCCCUGAUGGAUCUGAAGGACAGCACCAGCGAGGGCAGCAUGGGCAGCCUGCAGCCUUCCAGCAUCCAGAUUUUUGCCAACACCUCCACGCUCCAUGGGAUCCGUCACGUCUUUGUCUAUGGGCCGGUGACCAUCCGGCGCCUGCUCUGGACCUUGGCUUUUGUGGGCUCGUUGGGUCUCCUCCUGGUUGAGAGUUCCGACCGGGUGGCUUUCUACUUCUCCUACCAGCACGUGACCAAAAUGGACGAGGUUGUGGCAAACAGCCUGGUCUUCCCUGCUGUCACCAUCUGUAACCUCAAUGAGUUCCGCUUUUCCCGGCUCACCACCAAUGACCUGUACCACGCUGGGGAGCUCUUGGCUCUGCUUGACGUCAACCUGCAGAUCCCUAACCCGCACCUGGCUGACCCGGCUGUCUUAGCCAUCCUCCAGGAAAAGGCCAACUUUAAGCAGUAUAAGCCCAAAGUUUUCAACAUGCAGGAGUUCCUGGCCCGGGUUGGCCAUGACCUGAAGGAUAUGAUGCUGUACUGCAAGUUCAAAGGCCAAGAGUGCAGCCAUGAGGACUUCAAAACUGUCCAUGCAGAGCAGCUCUUGCUUCUGGCAGGAACAGCCAAACACCCCCUCAGCAAAUGCUAGAGCCAGUAGGCAUCCAACUUCUCCACUUCCUUCUGAAGGUUCAGCUAUUCUGCAGCUUGAGGUCCAUAAGUGAGGUCCUGACGCCCACUGAGGAGGUGAAAGGCAGAGUGCUUGCGCUGCCACUGGAUGGGAGUAACAUGCAUCACCAAACACCACAGCUAUGUGGUGUGGCCAUGCAGGGAGAAGGAGAAGCACUGAACUCCAUACUUGACACCAUUCCAAGCUUGGACCAGCCAUCCCAAAGAGGGAUGUCACUCUGGGUAUCUCUACCAUAUGAGAUGCCACCUACUCAGUCAUUGCCCAUAAGAAGAGGACAGUGGUUCAGGACUUACUGCAUGAGGAGCAGAGCACCCACAACACUGAAUACCUGACGGUCUUGUCAAGAGUCAUUUAAUAGUCUGUGUUUUAAGAGAAGAAUCCAAUUUGGGAUCUCAGACAGCCUUUGGAUGUCAUCUUUCCCUAUUCCCCAAAACAUUUCUCACCUCUAGAUUAAGGAAUACCUAAAUGUUGAAAACCAGACCUCUUCUACCAGCUUUCAGAAGACCCAGCUGCUGCAUGACAGCCUUAGAUUUUCAUCUGAAAGCUUUUUCCAAACACAGCUCAUCACCAUCUUCAUCAUUGUUUUUUCUGGCCCACAUGGCCUCUGAAUUGCAGACACUGAAAUACUCCUGAAAGCAUCCCUCUGAUCCUCAUUCCAGUAGUUGUAGUAGGAUCUCUCGCAUUGCUAUGGUACAUUGGGUUGAUGAUAAUAUAGCGUGUGUGCUUCAGGUGCAGCAUGCGUAGGAGAAACUGGUCUCCCAUGAGACAUCUCCUGUGUUGCUUCUAGGUGGUGAUAUUUGACUGAUGGCCGCAAGAUCUGACCCUUGGUUGUAGGCAUAUCUGGUUCUUGUUCAGUUCUCCAGUUCAGAACGUCCUCUUACUCUGUAGCACCAUGUUCCUGUCUGGGUUGAGAAUGUAGACUGCAGAAUUUGCUGAUAAAGGUGAAUGAAACCCCUCUUUAGAGACAUUAGCAUGCAAUCUGCUUUCAUUUCUGCUUAGGCACCCGCGGUGUAUGCUAAAAGGGAGCAAUUUAUUCUCCUCUGAUUCAAUACAGAAUGAGCUGGAAACACAGAAUAUUUAUCUGGGUGUUUUGCAAAUGAUACUUGCUGUGAAUGUACACUGAUGGUAACUGCAGAGGACAUCACCAGAAAUUAUCUCUUCUGGAUGAUGCUUGAUUUCUCCCCACCACACAUAAGCUGCUUUCUCUCUGUGAGCAACAAAUUGGUUCCCACAGCCUGUUGUCUUUUGCAGCAUCACCUGGAAACAGGGAGCAUGGUGGCUCUUCAGAUCCAGAACUCUGCCCUUUAUGAGUCUUCUGGAGCAUCCCUCCAGCUGCCAGACAUGGAACCGAAGGAGGACAAAUCUUUAAUACCAGGAUGGGGAAAAACUGGGGAUAUUUGUCAUUACCAUCUAAUAUUUCAGGAAGCUGUGGAAAUCAGGAGCAUGUUUCUCUUGCCUCAUAAUCAUCUGGAGGAAUUCUGCUGCAGAGGAGAGGUAUUUCCCAACCAUGAAAUUAGAAUAUAGGUAUUUGAGGAGAUGAUGCAGGCUCUGAAGCUCAAGAGCCUGUUUUUCUUCUUGUGUUACUUCAUACAGAUCCAACCAGACAGGCCAGUCUGCAUGGACCCAGGCCAAGGACUGCACUUGCUAGAAGGUGCUGCGGAGAUUUCAUGUUCCCAGAGAAAUGAGGCAUCAUCCGAGAAAUCUGUGCCUGGUUCUGAAAGAGAAAGAUACUGCUUUGCUUUACAUCCCAGUUACUUCAGUAACUGCACAGAAGUCAUAUCCAAACCAGUGUCCUGCCAUGGCAGUGGUCUUUGCAUUAGCUGGACUGGAUCUGGGAAGUGAUCUAAAAGGAGCUAUGAGCUCUUGUUACCACAUUCUGGCUCGCACAGUCAAGAGAUGUGAACAACACAAAUCGUUCUGCUUGGUGGGAUGCUGAGCUGUCCCUCAGUCAUUGAAAUGCACUACCCUGACCCAUUUCCUUGGCAAACUUCCCAGGGAAGCAGGUCGCUGGACAACAAAAGCCCGUUAAUUGGGUUUGCAAGCUGCCCUGCUAAACUAGAUUUGUUUGGGACUUGAAGCAUUGCAAAGCCUUGUGUGAAACGAUGGGAGACUUGGAGGGAGGCAGAGGGUCACGUUAGCAGAUGGAGGCAAGUGUUAACAUCCUACAGCACCAACAAACACAUGCCUGGGGUAGCCUGGAAGAGACAACAUGGGAUGGACAGUCCCAGUAAGGCUCUGGGGAAGGGACAUGGACAAGACUCUUGGACAAGACCAUAUUAAUAUUGCAUAGCAGAAGCUGGUGGAUUGGGAGAUAAUUGCAUGCCCAUAGAGAAAUCCUUGGGAGCUAUGUGGGCUCUGGAGCUGUUGUCCUGCACAGCUUCCAUUGAGAAAGUUCCUCUGGUUCACAAGCAGAGCUGACUCAGCUCUGGUUAUGUCUGUUUUACUGGGGUUUGGGGCUAAAAGGCAAGGUUUGAGAAAAGUCUUCUUCAAUAAGAGAAGUUUAAGAGUAGGAAUAUUCUGUCUGCCAUUGGUACAGCAAAAUCUUGGUGGUUUCUGGUGAGCUUUUCCUUUCCUUUUUUAACCUCCCUUUUAAGAAUCCCCUACUCAGAAUAAAGCA